UGGAUCCAGACUUUGAUUAUGGCUCAGGACGAACGCUGGCGGCGCGCCUAACACAUGCAAGUCGAACGGAGAUUACAGGCGGAAGUUUUCGGAUGGAAGCUUGUAAACUUAGUGGCGGACGGGUGAGUAACACGUGAGCAACCUGCCUAUCAGAGGGGGAUAACGAUUGGAAACGAUCGCUAAUACCGCAUGACAUAGCGGAACCGCAUGGUUCUGUUAUCAAAGAUUUUAUCGCUGAUAGAUGGGCUCGCGUCCGAUUAGAUAGUUGGUGGGGUAACGGCCUACCAAGUCGACGAUCGGUAGCCGGACUGAGAGGUCGAACGGCCACAUCGGGACUGAGACACGGCCCAGACUCCUACGGGAGGCAGCAGUGGGGGAUAUUGCACAAUGGGGGAAACCCUGAUGCAGCGACGCCGCGUGAGGGAAGACGGUCCUCUGGAUUGUAAACCUCUGUCUUCGGGGACGAAACGAGACGGUACCCGAGGAGGAAGCCACGGCUAACUACGUGCCAGCAGCUGCGGUAAUACGUAGGUGGCAAGCGUUGUCCGGAAUUACUGGGUGUAAAGGGAGCGUAGGCGGGCAGGCAAGUCAGGCGUGAAAUAUAUCGGCUCAACCGGUAACGGCGCUUGAAACUGCAGGUCUUGAGUGAAGUAGAGGUUGGCGGAAUUCCUAGUGUAGCGGUGAAAUGCGUAGAUAUUAGGAGGAACACCAGUGGCGAAGGCGGCCAACUGGGCUUUUACUGACGCUGAGGCUCGAAAGUGUGGGGAGCAAACAGGAUUAGAUACCCUGGUAGUCCACACCGUAAACGAUGAUUACUAGGUGUGGGGGGACUGACCCCUUCCGUGCCGGAGUUAACACAAUAAGUAAUCCACCUGGGGAGUACGGCCGCGAGGUUGCAACUCAAAUGAAUUGACGGA
rnacentral:rRNA from 1 species